AUGGCUCCUACCGAGGCUGAGGAUGAUGUAGAGGAGGGAGAAGAGAAGAAGAAGAGGGAAAGGAAGGCAGCUGGAGCUGCUUUCACGUGGAUUCAAAAUAACUUUGCGACGUGCCCUCCGGAUGCAACUGAUGAUGUGAUCCAGACACAUGCUCGUGUGUAUAUGUGGUACAUUGUGUCGAGGACUUUGUUUCCUGACUCCACUGGCAAGAACGCUCCAUGGAUGUGGCUGAAGGCGUUGACCGUCUUCGAUAGCAAAUGGAGCUGGGGUUCAGCGAGUCUUGCCUACUUGUACCGACAGGUAGUUGGUCUGUUUUGUGAUCAACUCAUUUAUUCAUUAGCAAUGCAAGCUUGCUGUCAAGUUAACAUUGUUUUUCUUUCAUAUGUAGCUGGAUGA
rnacentral:rRNA from 1 species